UACUAAGGGGGCUAGCGUUGCUCGGAAUCACUGGGCGUAAAGGGUGCGUAGGCGGGUCUUUAAGUCAGGGGUGAAAUCCUGGAGCUCAACUCCAGAACUGCCUUUGAUACUGAGGAUCUUGAGUAUGGGAGAGGUGAGUGGAACUGCGAGUGUAGAGGUGAAAUUCGUAGAUAUUCGCAAGAACACCAGUGGCGAAGGCGGCUUACUGGUCCGGAACUGACGCUGAGGUGCGAAAGCGUGGGGAGCAAACAGG
rnacentral:rRNA from 1 species